rnacentral:lncRNA from 1 species
AUCCUUUUUGAUAAGAGUCUGUAAAAGGAACCUCAUUCCAAAUGGGAAUCUGCUGGUAAUUUCUUUACUACAAGAAAAAGGGAACUCGAGAUAGGACCAUAUCCUUCAAGGACUUGGUUUUAGGGUCAGCCAGUCACUCCUGUAGUCAGAGGACCGGCAAGUAUGGCUUGGACACACUGAAUCAGGUCGAUGCCCAGCAGCCUUUCAAUGAAAGUGAUGAUCAGUACUGGGGCAAUGAUGAAAAUGGAAGUGGUGUGAAUUUAUUUCAACCAAC